rnacentral:rRNA from 1 species
GAUGAACGCUGGCGGCGUGCCUAAUACAUGCAAGUCGAGCGAACAGACGAGGAGCUUGCUCCUCUGACGUUAGCGGCGGACGGGUGAGUAACACGUGGAUAACCUACCUAUAAGACUGGGAUAACUUCGGGAAACCGGAGCUAAUACCGGAUAAUAUAUUGAACCGCAUGGUUCAAUAGUGAAAGACGGUUUUGCUGUCACUUAUAGAUGGAUCCGCGCCGCAUUGGCUAGUUGGUAAGGUAACGGCUUACCAAGGCAACGAUGCGUAGCCGACCUGAGAGGGUGAUCGGCCACACUGGAACUGAGACACGGUCCAGACUCCUACGGGAGGCAGCAGUAGGGAAUCUUCCGCAAUGGGCGAAAGCCUGACGGAGCAACGCCGCGUGAGUGAUGAAGGUCUUCGGAUCGUAAAACUCUGUUAUUAGGGAAGAACAACUGUGUAAGUAAAUAUGCACGUCUUGACGGUACCUAAACAGAAAGCCACGGCUAACUACGUG